rnacentral:rRNA from 1 species
UAAGACGAACCGUGCGAACGUUGUUCGGAAUCACUGGGCUUAAAGGGCGCGUAGGCGGCUCGCCAAGUCAGGGGUGAAAUCCUCCAGCUCAACUGGAGAAGUGCCUUUGAUACUGGCGAGCUCGAGCGAGGUAGGGGCGGGUGGAACUUCCGGUGGAGCGGUGAAAUGCGUUGAUAUCGGAAGGAACGCCGGUGGCGAAAGCGACCCGCUGGACCUCUUCUGACGCUGAGGCGCGAAAGCUAGGGUAGCGAACGGGAUUAGAUACCCCGGUAGUCCUAGCCCUAAACGAUGGGUACUAGAUAGUGGACUUGCAUGGGUUCACUGUCGAAGCAAAAGUGAUAAGUACCCCGCCUGGGGAGUAUGGUCGCAAGGCUG